rnacentral:rRNA from 1 species
UACGUAGGGUGCGAGCGUUAAUCGGAAUUACUGGGCGUAAAGCGUGCGCAGGCGGUGAUGUAAGACAGGUGUGAAAUCCCCGGGCUUAACCUGGGAACUGCAUUUGUGACUGCAUCGCUGGAGUGCGGCAGAGGGGGAUGGAAUUCCGCGUGUAGCAGUGAAAUGCGUAGAUAUGCGGAGGAACACCGGUGGCGAAGGCGGCGACCUGGUCCUUUACUGACGCUGAGGCGCGAAAGCGUGGGGAGCAAACAGG